rnacentral:rRNA from 1 species
UACCAGCACCCCGAGUGGUCGGGACGAUUAUUGGCCUAAAGCAUCCGUAGCCGGCCUUACAAGUCCUCCGUUAAAUCCAGCUGCUUAACAGAUGGCUGCGGAGGAUACUAUAAGACUAGGAGGCAGGAGAGGCAAGCGGUACUCAGUGGUAGGGUAAAUCCGUUGAUCCAUUGAAGACCACCAGUGGCGAAGGCGGCUUGCCAGAAUGCGCUCGACGGUGAGGAUGAAGCUGGGAGCAACCGGAU